rnacentral:misc_RNA from 1 species
AAAUGCAGAUGGAAUCAUUGCAAACAAGCCUGGUUGCAGCCAGAAAAAGUCUUGCUGCUGAUAACACUACUGGUCAACAUGGAAGACUUGAUUCUUUUGCAUCACCUCGGUAUUAUGAUUCUGAGGAUAAUGUUUCCUCAGGACUUCGAACUCCUGGUGGAAGCACACCCAACAAAAUGUCUCUUGCCAUUCAUGAUGGAAGAGUAGGGAGAGAGACUAAUGGCUCUAUAAAUGCAAUCAGCAUUCUUGCAAAGGAAUUUGAGCAACAGAGACAAAAUUUUGAUGAUAAUGCCAAAGCACUAGCUGAGGUUAAAGCAGCACAACCUGCUUCUUCUGAUGCAGAACUUAGAAAACUGAAAUUAAGAUUCGAGACAUGGAAGAAAGACUACAAGGUAAGAUUACGAGAGACAAAGGCGAG